GACGAACGCUGGCGGCGUGCUUAACACAUGCAAGUCGAACGGAAAGGCCCUGCUUUUGUGGGGUGCUCGAGUGGCGAACGGGUGAGUAACACGUGAGUAACCUGCCCUUGACUUUGGGAUAACUUCAGGAAACUGGGGCUAAUACCGGAUAGGAGCUCCUGCUGCAUGGUGGGGGUUGGAAAGUUUCGGCGGUUGGGGAUGGACUCGCGGCUUAUCAGCUUGUUGGUGGGGUAGUGGCUUACCAAGGCUUUGACGGGUAGCCGGCCUGAGAGGGUGACCGGCCACAUUGGGACUGAGAUACGUCCCAGACUCCUACAGGAGGCAGCAGUGAUGAAUAUUUCACAAUGGGCGGAAGCCUGAUGCAGCAACGCCGCGUGCGGGAUGACGGCCUUCGGGUUGUAAACCGCUUUCGCCUGUGACGAAGCGUGAGUGACGGUAAUGGGUAAAGAAGCACCGGCUAACUACGUG
rnacentral:rRNA from 1 species